rnacentral:rRNA from 1 species
UUAUUAACGACUCUCGACAACGGAUAUCUCGGCUCUCGCAUCGAUGAAGAACGUAGCGAAAUGCGAUACUUGGUGUGAAUUGCAGAAUCCCGUGAACCAUCGAGUCUUUGAACGCAAGUUGCGCCCGAAGCCUUCUGGCCGAGGGCACGUCUGCCUGGGCGUCAUG